rnacentral:rRNA from 1 species
AUUGAACGCUGGCGGCAGGCCUAACACAUGCAAGUCGAACGAGUGGCGGACGGGUGAGUAAUGUCUGGGAAACUGCCUGAUGGAGGGGGAUAACUACUGGAAACGGUAGCCAAUACCGCUUACCAUCAGAUACCCCCAGAUGGGAUUGGCUAGUUGGUGGGGUAACGGCCCACCAAGGCGAUGAUCCCUAGCUGGUCUGAGAGGAUAACCAGCCACACUGGAACUGAGACACGGUCCAGACUCCUACGGGAGGCAGCAGUGGGGAAUAUUGCACAAUGGGCGCAAGCCUGAUGCAGCCAUGCCGCGUGUAUGAAGAAGGCCUUCGGGUUGUAAAGUACUUUCAGCGGGGAGGCGUUACCCGCAGAAGAAGCACCGGCUAACUCCGUGCCAGCAGCCGCGGUAAUAC